UACGGAAGGCAGCAGUGGGGAAUAUUGGACAAUGGGCGAAAGCCUGAUCCAGCCAUGCCGCAUGAGUGAAGAAGGCCUUCGGGUUGUAAAGCUCUUUUAGUGAGAAAGAUAAUGACGGUACUCACAGAAGAAGUCCUGGCUAACUCCGUGCCAGCAGCCGCGGUAAUACGGAGAGGGCUAGCGUUAAUCAGAAUUACUGGGCGUAAAGAGCACGUAGGUGGUUUUUUAAGUCAGAUGUGAAAUCCCUGGGCUUAACCUAGGAACUGCAUUUUGAAACUGAAAUACUAGAGUAUCGUAGAGGGAGGUAGAAUUCUAGGUGUAGCGGUGAAAUGCGUAGAUAUCUGGAGGAAUACCUGUGGCGAAAGCGGCCUCCUAAACGAAUACUGACACUGAGGGUGCGAAAGCGUGGGGAGCAAACAGGGAUUAGAUACC
rnacentral:rRNA from 1 species